rnacentral:rRNA from 1 species
UACGUAGGGUGCAAGCGUUGUCCGGAAUUAUUGGGCGUAAAGAGCUCGUGGGCGGUCUGUCGCGUCUGCUGUGAAAACUCAGGGCUUAACCCUGAGCUUGCAGUGGGUACGGGCAGACUAGAGUGCGGUAGGGGAGACUGGAAUUCCUGGUGUAGCGGUGAAAUGCGCAGAUAUCAGGAGGAACACCGGUGGCGAAGGCGGGUCUCUGGGCCGUAACUGACGCUGAGGAGCGAAAGCAUGGGGAGCGAACAGG